AGCAGUCAAGUACAUCUUGUUUAAAAUAAGUUGCCAGUAAAUAAAUAGUUAUUCUUUAAUUGCAUAUCCAUGUGUUUUUUUUUUUUUUUUCAAGAGCGUCUUGUACCUUUGGAGAUGCCAGAGACAAUAUGCGGUUGUCUACGAGUAUCGUCCAGUGUCUGUUAUUCUUUAAUGCAUAUCCAUUGUGUUUUUUUUUUUUUCAAGAGCGUCUUGACCUUUGGAGAUGCCAGAGACAAUAUGCAGUUGUCUACGAGUAUCGUCCAGUGUCAUCGCAGGACAGUCCAUAGUUGUGGUUACAAUGAAUGGGCGAUAUGAUCUCAGAUUGCCUCAGAUUAGAUGCAAAGCAUGUGAAGCCACUUGGAGUCCUGGAGUGGAUGACCUGAUCCGUAAUGACUACUGGCCUGCCACUUCUCACUAUUCAACUGUGUAUGCAACAGAUGUCCUUUUUUCUUUUGAAGAGCUGAAGAUGGCAGCACCAGGGAUGUCUAGCCAAGCAUUUCUUAGAAUGCUGGAUCAACGCACUGUUCGAUUUGGCCGUGUAAGUAUUUGUGGUAAUAAUUGCGUAACUCCAUAAAUAAUACUAUGAGGGCAUGAUGAUGAUGAUAGUACACAUGAACAUUUGCACUGUUUAGGAAAAAAGUUGUGUUCAAUUUAGACCCUUUAUAAACAACCAUAAACUCAUGUUCUCUCAUCAGCAGUUUGCACUGAGACAUUUCCAAAAAAAAAAAAACAGGUAAUUCUGAAGAUCUCAACUUCUACUCCAUUGGCUACAGACUUUGACAUCUUCUCCCCAAUAUCAUUUCCUGAUCCCAGAAGUGUUCCCUUGGAUUAAUGGCCCAAACACUGCACAGGCUUACUUCUAAACAAUAUUGUAGCUGUUGUAGCCCUCUUUGUGUAAAGAUUUAAACUGAAUGUCAAACAAUAUCCUGUAUUUUUAAUGGCCAGGUCCCCCAAAUACACCAGUGUAUAGUGUAUGAGUGAAGUCUACACAUUGUUUAUUUCCUUUGAUAUGUAUUCUAAGGAGUGGUUACGAAGUUAGUACAAACAUCCCAUAUGUAUCCAUUUAGAACAUUUUACUUCAGUGUAGUAUAUUGUUUAAUUUGAUCCGUUUUACUGUUCUCUUUUGUUCUCUUUUACUGAACUCUUCUUUGAAACAGAGUGGAAACAUCACAGCAGACAGCUUCCGGAAAAGCUUCUUGGAGUGGGAAGCUGUCCGAUUCGAAGUGGACAAAUUAUGCCAGGAGGACCACUUUGACUGCCCAGCGUGCAGCCCAGACAUGCUUGCAGUAUCCGUUGAUGGAAACCGUAAGCACUACAGAUUCAAGAGUGCAGCAAGGUACUGUGUGUGCAUUGACGGUCCAUUACUUUGAAAGUAACUGCUGUGAAUUGAAAAUCAUAUGAAUAUUUAAAGUUAAUAUGUAUCUCUUUUAUUUAGAUCGGAGGAAAAAGCCAUCUUUGAUGGCGUGUUCAUCGCAAAUGAUGAUGAUGUCGCAAGAUUCGUGGACUAUGUCCAUACCUCAACCAGUCAUGUAAACUUGCACAACUUCUCUAUAUUUACCUAUAAAACACCACGUCCUACAGAGGACUUAGUUUGAACAAGUUUGGAAUGUUAAACAUCUUCCAUGUUUUAGGUCUCUGGAAGAGGUGUCUGUGGAGGGCAAUGGUCAGCGGCGCGUGAAACUUCUCAGAAGUCCUCAGGAAAAACAGACGAGGAGGGCCUGGAACUCGCUGUAUGUCGUCAUGGGGUUCUCCUUCGUGCCCUCAAUAUGUUCAGGGGGGAGAUUUUUGCCUACCCCCUGUACCUCCAAAAGCAAAUGGCCUGUAAGCCAGUUAAAUUUUUUGCAAUGGAUGUGGCAUGCAAGUACUGGCCUUACCUCCAGAGAGUGACAGAGAAAUGCCCUGAGCUUGAGGAUCUCCUCACCAUGAGGCCAUUUCUUUCUGUUUUUCAUGCCAAAGCUCAUGAUUUCAAAUGUGAGGUAAGAAAAAAUGAUUGUCCAUGAUAUUUUCUUUCCCUAAAAUCCUGCAUAAGAUUGUUGCCACUUAGGUUUUGUUUUUUUGUUUUCUUUUUUAAAGGUAAAAUGGAGUGGAGCAUAUCAGGAGGGGGCUGGUUCGACUCUUGGGGAAGAGGUGGAGCAGUGCAACGCCUUCCUCUCGAGGAUUGCUGUUACGACAAAGCACAUGUCAAAAGCAGGUAAGGUAACCAGUAAAUUUUGAUCCUGAUGACAUGGGUGAGCCACUUAUGCAUACAUGCUGACUCUGAAAAUAUAAAGAUCAGAAUAUAUUAAACACAAAUGGAUGGGUUGAUGAAUAAGAGAGAAACAGACUAAUAUGAGCGUAGAUGCCAUUCUUCUAACGAUGUAGCAAGUACAUCGGGUGUUAUGGGAAGUGUUCCCGGUUCCGGUUUACCUAACCGGGAACUUUUCCACUACAAAAUCUUAAAUUCUGUAGUGGAAAAGUACAACACCUUGGUUCCUAAUGCAGAAAAACUGUCAUUGGACACCAUUCUAUCUGACGAGAUUGUUUGGCCAUGGCAGCUUACACACGGUGGUAUGUACACAAUUCCAUUGUCACAUAGUGGGACAAAAUCUGUCAUGCCUCGAUUUUACACCUGAAAAUCUCUAAAUACUAAUCUCAAAUACAACCGACUUAUGUUUCAUCUAUGUAUUCCAGACUCUGUAGAUCUAAGGACAAAGAGGAAGGCGUUCGACAUUGUGAUGGCAGUAAGGAGACUUGAGGAGGAGAAGAGGAUUCUUAUUGCAGAGAUGAACAAGCAUUGGAAGUCUCUUUGCUCCCGUGCAGACACCCUGAAGCAGAUGUCAUCCCAGCUUUCUAAUGUGACAUCAGGUAUGUAUUUGUUAUACUUGGGAUACAUUACAAUAUUUCUGAAUGUUUCUAAUUAAUAAAGGCUCAAUAUGUUUUAACAUGUAAGGUGAGACGUGGGGCCUGCUUCAAGAUGGUAUCCGAGGUCUACAGAGCUUGACGAUGAAGAACAAGCAAGCAAGCAACAGCCUGGCAAAGCAUGCAAAGAAAUAUUAUGUUCAAGUUCUGACUGAAACAGAAAUUAACUUUGAUAGUGAUUCUGAGGAAUACCAUACCAGUAGUGACUCUGAGCAAGAUUAAACAUGGCCAGAGUCCUUUUUUAUGCUGUUGUGUGCUGGGGAGGCAGCAUUAAGAAGAGGGCCGCUGGGACAGGUUGGUAAGGAAAGCUGGCUCUGUGUUUGGCAUGGAGCUGGGUGCCCUCAAUAUGUUCAGGGGGACGAUUUUUGCCUACCCCCUGUACCUCCAAAAGCAUAUGGCCUAUAAGCCAGUUAAAUUUUUUGCAAUGGAUGUGACAUGCAAGUACUGGCCUUACCUCCAGAGAGUGACAGAGAAAUAGCCCUGUAGCUUGAGGAUCUCCUCACCAUGAGGCCAUUUCUUUCUGUUUUUCAUGCCAAAGCUCAUGAUUUCAAAUGUGAGGUAAGAAAAAAUGAUUGUCCAUGACAUUUUAUUUCCCUAAAAUCCUGCAUAAGAUUGUUGCCACUUAGGUUUUGUUUUUUGUUUUCUUUUUUAAAGGUAAAAUGGAGUGGAGCAUAUCAGGAGGGGGCUGGUUCGACUCUUGGGGAAGAGGUGGAGCAGUGCAACGCCUUCCUCUUGAGGAUUGCUGUUACGACAAAGCACAUGUCAAAAGCAGGUAAGGUAACCAGUCAAUUUUGAUCCUGAUGACAUGGGUGAGCCACUUUGAGCUUAUGCAUAAUGCUGACUCUGAAAAUAUAAAGAUCAGAAUAUAUUAAACACAAAUGGAUGGAUCGAUUACAAUAACAUCAUCCUAUUUUAUUUGACGUGAGGAUAAUAAGGAAGGGCAGUGCGAUAUAAAAAAAACACAUCAGAGUACCAUUCACCUACUGUCCUGCCAUUUAAAUACUGUCCUGCGCCACUGUGUCAUGCUAUUUCUUCACUAUCCUGUGCGAUUUACCUAACCCUUUCAUGGGACAGUAAUCAAAUGGCACAAGACAGCAUAUUAGUACCAUAGUACUGUACUGUAUGUUAUUAUCUCUGAAAAGUUUGUGAUUCAAGUCUGCACACUUUCUUCUCCUACUGCUACUGGAAAGAAGGGUGAUAAUCUCAUUAUUUUUUUAUUUUUGCAGGAUGCAUAGACAUGCUGACGAUCAUGGCCAUGCGCUGGAACCAACUAAAGUUUGACAACUUGGCUUCUACCCUUGCCCGCCGAUAGAGGGCCGCUGGGACAGGUUGUUAAGGAAAGCUGGCUCUGUGUUUGGCAUGGAGCUGGAGUUAAUUAUUUAACAAACUGAGGAUAAUUUGCAGUAGCAGUCUUCUGUCAUGCUCAACAUUGAGGAGGUCCUUUGUCCCCAGGGCAUACCAGCAACUCAAUGUCACAGAAAAGGUUAGGGGAGAAAUUGACUUUUCAGCAUGAGUCUCACCCUGCGCCAACCAUUACAUCGCUUUGUCUAUUGUCUAGUAUCCACUAUCCAUUUGACUGUCUUACAGGCUACAUUAGCCCCUCUACACAUUCUGAACUGUGGUUUCAACAUUUACCCCUGUUGGCUUGUAUAAUCUUUUUUCUUUUUUAUAUAUAUAUUUAAGUUUCUGUUUUUCUAUCUAUUUUAACUUCUUUGUAUUGUUUUUGUUAAGCAAUUACUAUUAUGCUCAGACUCUUUUUCCAUAGUCAUAUUAAACAUGCACAGCUUUGCACUGAUUAAAUCCCUGCACUGUUUACUUUGCACUACCACCACUGCAAAUCACUCUAUAGUUGCCCAUCAUGUAUCACAGGGUCAGUCCCUACCAGGCCUUUGUAAUCACUUGACAUGCUCUUCACUUUUACAUUGUGAUUUUGUUAUGUGUCUGAGUUGUGUGUUGUUUUUGUGGUUGUAUAAGCUAAUAAAUGCCUAAAAU
rnacentral:lncRNA from 1 species